AGCUUCCUGGGGGCUGCGCAGGGCUGGGGUGGCGGGGGGACCCUGCCCGCAGCCUUCGCCACGCUGGGGCUCCCAGGGUGCUGGUGAGAGCUGCGAGGGGCUGCCCCCUCCUCGCCCUGCCGGGGGUCAGCUCUGCCGACAGCCCGGUUUUCCUGGUGUUUUUUUCCUGUCCUGGGGAGGCUGGUUGCAAAUCUGGUUCAAGACCUGGAAUUUGUUCUCUGGAGCCCUGGAUGGUCUGGGAGUCAAGAAAAUUCAAAACAUCUGGAAACUAAGGACUUCGUUGUGUGCAGCGCUUCCAGCCUGAGUCCCAACAAGCCCAGAGAACUCCUGCUUUCCUGGCGGUGGAUGCAACAGAGAGGCUGGAUUAACAGGAUGGAGGAGCCUGACUCGGGGCCAGACUCUGCUGCCUAAUUGUAGAUGCCACCAGGUGGAUGAAGGGGCCCCAGCUCCCUGCGGACAGAGUGGUUCCUCCAUGUGGUUCCUCACCUCCUAAGGAGGAGACCCAUAGCUGGUGAACAUCUGAGGCUACAUUUGUUAGGAGAUUCUGAAGCUCUUUCUGCAUUUCCUUGCUGAUCUCAGGAAGUUGCCAAAAAUCUCCCUGUGCAACUCAACUUACCUUCACAGCGCUUUGCUUGCUGGAAACACCUGGUAUGUGCCUGGGUGUGAGUGUGGCUUGUGUGUCCCACAUCUGAGCAGUCACAAGUGUCGGGAUGCCCCUGCAAGGUGCCAGUUUGCAGCACACCAGGGGACGGAGGAGGUGAUGCCCACACGAGACACAUGGCGCCUUGGCAGGGCACCCAGCUUUGCUGAUUUUUCAUGGAGAAGUGAAGGUAAAUGAAAGCCAGGUCAGAGGCCGUGCUGCUUGCCCGGCAUGUGUGCCCUCUCCCUCUCGCUGCCCUAAAAGCCCUGUGUGAGGCUGGAGAGGCACAGAGGUUGUGUGAGGUCUGCUGGGGGGUUUAGGGCUGGAAGAGACCCGUGGGUAUGGCUGUGGCAGGGCUCCUCCUGCAGAUGCUGCUACUGCCGGCAACAAAGGUUUCCCAUAAGCAGCUUUGGGUGGCUUCCCCCUGUCCUGUGGGUGGCCAUCCUGUGGCAGGGGAGCACCUGCUGCGGUUGGGGAGCGUGGAGCCAUGGGAUGGUUGCAGGGAUGAUUGCAGUGCCAGGACGGGAGAGGGAACUGAACGUUGCGAGCAACUGGGAGGCAAACCACCCAAAAGCCAAGGGAAGAAGUGGGGAGGUAGCAAAACCACAGAUCUGUUUAGCGAGCAGUGACACAGUGUUGGCCGGGUUUCAGUUCCCCACGAGAUGGAGACAGCACCGCUGGUUUCAGUUACUUUCCAACUGUGGUGCAGGAACAAUUUGUCUUAAUAAAUUGCAAGGAAUAAUGCAAUAGGACAGAGCUCUCAAGUGGGUGUGAGGGUUUUGAUGUGAACCAUGGGAUGAAUGUUAACAAACAGAUCAUGUUGUUAUUGCUUGCUCUUGGUUCGUGACCUGGGCUCCAUGGCCCUUCGUGGCCUCUGUGCCCCAAACUAUAAGCUGAUGCUGUCUGAUCUCCAUGGACCAGUUUCUUUGAUGGUGUCUGUGGUUUAUGUGAUGGGGAUUCAUUGCUGUGCUGCAGUGUGGAGGUAAGCUGGUCCCUCCAUCCCACCAAGAAGGCAUCCAGGGAAGCAUGUUGUUAGCAUGAGCAUUGGCACAGUGAAACUGCUAACAGAGGGGAGAGGCUUUUUUCCUCCUUCACAGAAAUAAAAGCAUCAUUUAUACAGCUUUCAGCUCUGCUGGUGCUUUUCUGCAGCAAAAUGCUUCAGCCUUCCUCCUGUGCCGCUUACCUAUGGACUGGGUCAAUAGCUUCAGGACAUCCUAGGGAGUGCAGUCUCAAGAGCCCAGACAUCAUACCUGCCUCUGCCACUGCUCUCUUCUGUGGCCUUGGUCAUGUUCACCGAUGUGAUGUGGGCUGUCUUUUGGUGUGCCAUGCACGGCACAGGAAAGCUGUUCCUGGCAAUUGUAACGCAGCUGGCAGGAGACUGGGCUUUGCUGAAUGUUUUGCGUGCACUCUAAUGUAGCUAGUAACUGGAGAAGCAUGAGGCACAGGAUCAAUGUCAAAGAUUGCCAACAGCAAAGGGAAAUGUGCUGAGAAAUGUAUGUGAAUGCCAGUACUUUGGCAUGUUAUUUAAAACAGUGGCCGGUCGCAGUAACAGGCCAUCUUGCUCUCAUUCUGGCCUCUUUUAAUCGCAGUUUCAGGAUUUUUAUUAUUUUUUUUUUAAUUUUUUUAAAAAACGUACGCCAUGUUCCCAAGUAGUGCAAAUGAGCUGCCUCUCUUCUGAGCUGCUCUGCUGUUGCUGUCGUGUACUUCAGGAGACUGGACAGCCCGCUAUGGUCUGGGGACUCAUCCUGCAGCCACCAUCACUCUGUGGGGCUCUGCACUGUAAAUGCAAUAGGUGGAAGAAGAGAUCAUUCGUGAUUCUUCGUGAACAUGAAGAGCCGCUCUCUGUUCAUUUCUCCUGCCUUGCAGACCUGUCUCAUCUGCUUUCACCUGCAUCUCAAUCUCCCUCCUCUUCCUAGCCCGAUGGAGAGCAAACGGUGAAAUAGAAAAAGCAGUGCUAAUGAUCACAGCCCCACUACUAUUUUAUUUCCAAUUGGCAGCUCAUGCAAGCAGCCCUAUUUUCUGUUCUAAUAGGAAACUUUAUGAUGUACCAAAUUACCCUGUAAUAGCCUGCGCUGGGUUGCCUCCUGAAAGGUAAACGAUUUUGAUUUUUUUAUGAUCGGUUAUUAUGACUUUUUUGCCUAUUCCAUAAAAAAGAGGGAGAUUGCAUUAAAGAGACCCUAAGGUUGCAAACUGGAGCUGCUGGGAGCCAGGUGGUGCCGCAGGAUUGCUGCAGGUGUAGGGCAGGGGACUGCACAGCUGCCCGGCAGUGGCUGGUGACCAUGUCCCCUUCUCGCUGCUGGCCGUCACCUCCCGUGUCCCCUUCUCGCUGCUGGCCGUCAUCUCCCGGGGGCUGGCACAGGCGUGCUGCAGCUGAGGGCUCUCCUGGAUGCUGAUGAUGGGUGGAAGAAACUGCCUGGCAGCACACAGGGGAGGGUUCGGGGGCACGCAAAGCCCAGGAUGCUCUGCAUGUUGCGGAGUGCCAUCUCCUGGCUUGCCACGAAUUAACGGGGACUCCGCAGCUCCGCACCCACCGCAGGGAGCCCCGGGCAGCUGCUCCUGCUCCCUCCAGGCUGGUGUCCUGGCGAGGAGAUUAUCCAGAGAGGUUGGCAGCAGCAGGAGAUGGGAGCACUUAAUCCAGAGCUGCUCUCCCGUGCUAGUUAGGGAGUGCUCAUUUCCUGGUAAUGGCUUUGUUUUAAUUAGGAUAGCUGAGCCCUUGCGCAUCCCAAGUUAGAAGUGAUACAACCCUGUGAAGUCCCAUUAGCAUUUUCUGCUGCAUUCUGCAGUGGAGAAGCAGCAGGGAGGUGUGGGAUGUGAUCCAGGGAGGGAUUAGGCAGGAAACUUCCCACGGGCAUUAAUGGACAUCCCUUUUAUUUUAGCUGAAAUCGGGCGCCUAAGUACCUUUCUGGUCCUGCAUGAAGGUGACUGCAAAGACCACUCUCAGUGUCUGGUCGUAUUUGUAAAGAUCUGUGAUUUGGGGUUUUUGUAGCUGGACCUGGCUGGUGAACCGGAGACAGAGAAGAACUGGAGCAGGAAAGGUGAAGUCCUACCUGGUAGCAAUUUCUCCUGUCCCAUGGUAUGGUAAGGGCUGAUUUUCCUCACCGAGGAAUCGCUGUCCUGUAUUGGUCUGUAUCAGGUGCUUUUAAUCACUGCCUGUAACAGUGAUUAAAAUUUCCAUCAGUUGAUGUCAACUCUGAUAAAUGUGACUUCAAAAUAUGAAACCAUUUAUGUGAAAAAGAUUUAAACUCGGUCCAGUGAAUGCACUUUUCAUUUUUUAAAAAUUAUUCAUAUUUUUCCUGUAACUAAAAAUUGUUUGAAAAAUCUGCUGGAUCUAUCACUAGUUAGCUCAACAGAAAAAGGAGAUCUGUAAUGGUGAAAAAACAGCAAUGAUUUUGUGAAAAAUUAUUAUACACUUUCCACUGAAGUGCUUUGUGAAACCUGGGAUUAAAAAGAUUAUAGAAUUUUGCAAUACCGUUUUACUUUCGGUUGAAAAAAUGACAUUUAAAUAUGUCUGGCUUUAGCAUCAAAACCCAUACUUAGAAGGGUGACCAUCAUUGCCGAUUACUGUAGCUGUGUGGAUAAUAAUGUGAUUUCGAUGAUGCUUUUUGUUUUGCCUGGUAACACAGCUCCAGAGCAGGGCAGCCCCAUUGGUGCCUGCUGCGCCGCUCACUCCCCCUCUUGUAUACGCAUCCGUGAGAGCGAGUGAGCUAGCUCAGAGACAGCUCUCCAAUCAUUUGAAUAAAGGGGGAUUUAAUGGAGCUAUAUAUGUAUUUAUAGUAACUUCUGUUGCUUGCCUGUUUUAAUAGACUGUCACUACUAUCUAACAGCAAAUCACAUUCCAGGUGUGCUUUGCGGCACAGAUGCUAAAUGGGCUGGGUACCCGUUUGUUUCCUGGGCACAGCCUCCAGUGCCCUGGACGCUGGGACAGUCCCUGGGCUGAGCUAUACUGGGGGGGGUGGUGGCCGGUGCAUGGGUGCAUGGUGGGUUGGAAAUGGGACCCUGUGGGUUAGCUUGAGGGUCUCAGAGGUGACUAAGAACAGCCAGCAUUGGUUCCCAAGGCUCCACAACUCUGCUUGGAAAGCUUUUGGGGUGGCCCGUUGGAAGGUGACAAGCUGCUUCUGCCCAUCCAUCUAUCUAACUAAUUCCAAAAUAGCCCAUGGAAACCAGUUCUCUCUGGAGAAGCCGAAGAUCCAUUUCAGCAUGUCUGGUUUGAAGAUCCCUGCCCCAGCUGCAGCCCCCAGCCCGCGUCUACCUGACUCACCACGGUGGUGCGGGCAGGCUGUUGCCCACGUGGGCAUCCUCCUUCAGAGAGCGCUUUCCACGGAGCCCAGGCACGGUGCUGUCCUCCGGGGAAACCAGCGGGACUUCACAGCAGAAAGAAAUAGAAAGCAGAUCCUCGGGCUUUUAAAAUUUAGUGCUGAGAGUGAUGAAAGAAAGGGCAAUAAUUCUUUUAGAUUCACUUACUGUCCAACUUUCAGAGACAAGAUUACUCACCCUUUCCCUGCGGAGAGGGCAGAAAUGAACAUCAGGUGCUCUGACACAGUUUAGGCAAUUACCCAACCCUGGUCUGGCUGUGUAACACCAGUGAGCGUUUUUUUGCAGCUAUAGUUAUGCAGACCCUAAGACAGAUCUCCUGGUAGGGAGCCGGAGUGGCAGAAAGUGGAGCGGGCUGGGAGCUGAGCCCUCUGUGUUCAGCAGUGACUUUGCCCACCUUUAACUCGUCUCUUCCCUUAGUUCUUUACACCUACCAACACCCUGCUUUGGUUUCUUUAAAAGCUGUCUGUUUAUUAUAUGUGGGUGAAAUCUGGUCAUGCUGUACUGUUUAUUAGUCCAAAACUGAGGUCAGGCAGGUUGGAUUUCUUUCCCGAGUGCUUUUAUAAUAUUUGUGUUAGCUGGGCAGCUAAGUGCUGUCAGAUGUAGCGGCAAUGGAGCUUGCUGCUGUUGAAAUUUUUAUGGUUUCAUGCAUUUUACAGCAUCACCUGUCAGACUCCAGCAAUCAUGAUGUCACCUGUAGUGGAAUAUAUAAAUUUGAACAGAGGAGGCUGGAGCUAGGGGACUUCUUCAGUAAUCUGGGCUCCUUUCUCCCCUCCCUCUCUGGUGGAGAGGCUGGGAGGUCUUAAGGCACAGCGAAAGAAAAGGCGCAGACCUCUCCCCUCCCCUGGGCUUUGCCCCAGCCGUUCUGCAUGAUCUGGGCAAAAUCGCUGCCUUCACUCCGGCUGUAGUUUCCAUACUGCCUCUUUGUUUUGCUGGCUGUGUCUCUGGGGAUAUGGUCUCCUGUAUUCAUCCCGAGACAUGGGAAAGGCUCGCUCGGCACAGGGAGUCUCCAAUGGCUGCGCUGUAGUCUGGUACCCCAUGUGUGUGGGAUGGAGACGCCAGAUCUGGCAGCAGAAGCGGGUGCCGUGAGGGCUGGCAGGGAAGGACGGGAGGAAGAGUGGCUUUGCCGGGCAAAUGUUUAAGCAUUUGUGAAGGGGGCAAUGGGACAGGACUUGUUCUCCGUGAAUAAGUGAGGACAGCACACCUGGGGUGCCCUCCGCCUGCUGCGCUGAUGGUCUGUGGCCAGCGCUGCUCCUGCCCUCCUCCUCCUCCUGGGCACUAUUAGGUCUCUGUCCAAUUUUGGCAUCAUCGCAGAUUUGAUUACAGUUUGCAACAGCCUUGGCGAAGGCCCUCGUGGGACACAGGGGCUCGUCGAGUGGGAGCUGGUUGAAGCCGAAUGGAGGUUUGAGCUGUGGGCAGGACACGCUCCGCUCGUGGUAUCACGCACCAGGAUGGAUGCAACUCUGUGUCACGUGUUCAUGUCCUCAGACUGGCAUGGUCCACGCGUUCCAUCCAAAGAGGGGUUCAGAGAUUAAUGAAAAGAUUCUACAAAAGGUCAAAUAGCAGCUCUGAUCGGUGGGUUUGACAGCAGGAGAAUGAUUGGGGGUUUUUUCCUGGUUCUCAUUGGUUUGUGUAGUCUUUUCCCUGCAAACGCUACCUUAAUUAAAUAUCAAAUGAGCAUUAAGAUGAUAUUCCAUGUGGCUUAACAAUGCUAAAUGAAGACAUGUAGCCCUACUGCUGAGCUAUAAACCCUCAGUAAAAAAUGGCUUAAGAACAUACUGAUCGGGUUUUAAGAGCUCUGUAACUGAUACGCAUCUUAUGGUAUCGUUAGGCCUCGAUAAAUCUGUUUCUAAUAAUCGCUAUUUACUGAGGUUUCGCAACUAUGCCUGAGGUACGUAUCUGUUACCUUGUGGUCCAGCCUCAAUAAAUGUGUUUUUAAUAAUCAAUUGGUACUUCAAUAAUAAACAAUAAUUGCUUUAUUAAAUAUGAAUUUGAACAUGUUCUGCAUUUAAGUUGUACUGAAAUCACAUCUUUUUGCUUUUUUAACUCUCAAGGAGCUUUCACUGACCAGCUAUUGGUAGUAGUGUGCACCAAACAUUACUGUUCCUCAUAGAGCAUCACUGACUUUGCCUGAUUUAUGACUCGUGACAAUAUUUCAGUGCUUUGUUUCUACCUUAGCCUAAGCAGUCUAUCAGUUGCUUCCAAGCAAUCUUCCUGGGAGAAAUGCAGCAGUCCCUCUUAUGGAUCAUUAACUGGAAAUGAACUUGGGACCUUCAGAUGUAAACACACCGCCUUCUGCCAUGCGACCUAGCAGACCAACACUUUUAGUUGUCAGUACAAGUAAUAGUGGGCCUGCAUCUCAAGCCAAGUCUUCAGAGUCAGAUGCUCCCAUGGCACAGACAUACGGACUCACCUGCCACGGACUGCCCUCCUCUGCCGCUGCCAGUGCUGUGGGUGCUCUGAAGCUGCAUGGGUGGCCCUGCGCCCUGCUGGCCAUGCUACGCUGCUUCCGACAUUGCCGUGCUUGGCAGAGAGUGGGCUUUUGUCUUUGAAGUAUGAGGAGGUUUGUCUCCUUCCCAUCAGUGUCUAAAGCAGGUUUUCUUCCCAGGGCUGGUUCAGGAUUCUGCUGAGCGUGAUGGAGUGUGGCGACAUAUCCCUGGACUUCAGAGAGGCCAGUCGUGGACAGGAGGCAUCUGCUCUUUGUUGGGUUGGAGACAGGACAAUGAGCUAGGUGGACCUUUGGUGUGACGGUUUGCUCAUUCUUCUGAUCUUCGGUUGAGUGGCAAUGGUGGAUGUUGGCUGUCGCCUGGAACAGGAUGAGGUAUGAGCUCUCGUGUUAUUUUGACUGGAAGCUGUGACCACCCUGCAUGGUUGGGCCAUCGUGGUGAGUUGCUGCAGGUCCCACGAGAUCCACAGGGUUGGUCUGGUGCUGCUUGGAACCGGCACCCCAUGCACGGGAGGAGCUGUCAGCCCAGGCUACCGCAAUACUUCUUGAUAUGUUUUCCUACCUUAGUGAUAAUACCCGGCCUCCACAUCUCCCUGGCGCACAGGAACCCAUGACAGUCUGGGCUGCCUCCAUCUUCAUUCUCUUGACCUGGGAAUGGUGCUUACUCCCUGAGGAGUCCAACUAUGAGACCCUGGAGAAAGCAGAGCUCAGCAGCUUUAGCUAGAGACUGCAGGACUCACUUUAGUCUCCCAGUCCACAGCAUGGUCCUGCCUUUCACUGACACCCAUCAUCACGGGAACCCUGGGGACAGGCUGGUCUUCACAGAGGUCAUAAAAGUGACUUGCUGGAAGGUGAUUUUCCUCCAAGUGACUGAGUGCACGGUGUGCAUGCAUGCCAUGGUACCCGGUUUGCCAGAUGGCUCCCUGGCAUCCGAUCAGGGCUUUUCCAUGCAGCAGGGAAGAAUGUAGUUGAGAAGGCUGAUAAAUGGUCUGUGAAGAUUUGUCUGGUACCAUUUUGAUCUUCAGGGAAUGAGGACCUCAUUGCAGAUCAAAUGUCUGGUCUUUUGCUGGCAUAAAUCAACAUAACUCUACCAAACUUAAUGGAGUUGUGCUGAUUUACACCAGCUGAAUUUAUACCAUCAAUAAUCAUUCAUUUGCUCUGCCUCUUCUCCAUUUUUCCCCUCUCCUUGGAUUAGAAACGAAGUCUAUAAAGCUAAUGUGGUCCCUGCAGCAGCAUAACUUCCACAGAGUGUUUGCUUGAAGAGGUUAAAAGCCCUAUAAACUGCUUUACAUUCUCUAAUAAUAGAAUGCAGAUGCAAAGGGGAAGGAUUUGAUGGUCAAUUAAUGCAGAAACUAUCCAGUGCUUUGCAUAGGUCCUACUCCCUGGCUUUGAAAUACAAUGCCCAAUUAAAAUCUUACCCAGAACUAUACCGAGAUUAAAAACGUAACAAUAAUCUGCAGCGCUCCAGGUAGCAUGCUGCAGUUUUCAGGGUGCCUCUGAGCUGUUCCUCAUAAACUCUUGGAUAAGAUUUGUCUGGGUGUUUCCAAUUGCAACUGCUCCUGGAGAAAAGCCGUGAAGUAGCAUUCAGCUGGUGAAGCUGAAGAGAGGGUUAUUUUACGGAGGAAAAGGAGGGGGGUAGGAUGGGUAAGGAAAGUGUUGACAAUCCCUUGUGCAUUCUUCUGAAAGGAAAAGAAAAUGAUUACUGUAAAUGUUCUGCCCUUCAGCUGCGUUUUCCCGAGGUCUCACUGCUGUGCCAGGCCAGGCAGUGCCCACAGAGUGGCUCCGGGGUUGGGACGGGCUGACACAGCUCCAGCAUAUUCCAGUAACUUACUUUGCAGUUGGGUUGAGUAUCACUUGCUCCAGCUCUUAGGGGCGGGUGGUGUUGAUGACCUGUCAGGAUGCCUCUACAUGCGAUGGUGGCUCCAGAGGAGCAGUGCAGUCUGUGAGCAGACGGUAUUUGGUGGAGGGAGAGGCUGGGGCUGCAGUAGUGUGGGAAGGAUCUGGGUGUAAUAACCCAGAAGGUGGGAUGAAAGCCCUUCUCUUUCAGUAGUCCACACCACAAGUAGGAGCUGAAAGGGAAGAAGGCAGUUUGGGCAGUGAGGAGCACCGACAGUAAUUAAUCAGGGUAACAGCCAACCCCUUCUUGGCUCUAAAGCUUACUCACUGGCAAAAGACACCGAUGUGGAAAUAUAUCACAUUCUUUUAAGGGCUCUAGUAAUUUACUUGCUGUGCAGAGCAACAGAAAGGGUGAAAAAGCAGGGCUCUGCAUCCCUGUGGUACCUGGAGACACUUUUCUUCAGGACUGAGCCGAAGGGCAUGGGCUGCCUCAGCCAGAGAGACCCUCCCCUGGGCUGCUGGGGCGUCUGGGCUGAGCCCACUCCUUGGUCAGCUCCUGCUGGCUAGUGCCUCUCCGCAUUAAUCAGAAGGGAUGGGGAUCACAUCACUGCCCUUAACCACCAAAAACUCGUGUAGCUCAUACAGCCAUUUAUUUGUCAGCCUGUGCGGUCAGCACUCCUCUCUUCAAGGAAAAUUCAUGCAUUUAAUAGCAGAGCUCUGAGGAAGACCAGUUCCUUUCUCGUUCAGGGUCUCCUUCGUUGUGCACAGAGCAAACGGGGGCUGGGGCAGGGAUACGCAGUGGUGGCUUCCCCUGGUGCUGAGCAGCAGGCAUGGCAAAUCCAUCUGUGAGGCAUCAAACCCCUGAUGGCAGCCCAGCGUGCCUCGCUGUUCGCUCUCUGCCUCGCUUUUUCUCCUUUUCAUGG